CCAAAUAAUACAAAUCUAAACAUUCUAGAACAUUCUUACUUCUCAUGAAAAAACAGUUAUCUGCAUAACGGAAAAAUUCUGUUCCGUUAGAAAAUAUGCUAGUUUUUUCUGGUUACAAAAUUCUAAAAGUAAAAGUACCUGCUGGUAUAAAAGUAUAAAGUAUUAAAGUACAGUCCACCAAACAAGCAGAGACAGAAUAGUUCUCAAGGUCGCAGUACAUCAUUUUAGUACUACCUACAUUCAUUUUAUAUAAAGUCAAUAACGAAAUAGUACGUCAGAUGACAGAAAGAAGAAAACAAGUCAAAUUGAGCCCAGGAACAGAGUUCAGACACCCUGCUACUUAUGUAUUUAUCUAUUGUAUUUGAGCUUAAUAUAUAGUCGGACGCCUGAGGUGGUGGUGGUGUUAAUUAGGUGCCAAGAUCAUGUGAUUUGAAACUUUUAGACUCCUUUCUUCGUGGUUAUAUUUGAAAGAAAAGGUGUACGUUGAUAAACCAAAUUAUAAGAAAAUUAUGCAUCAGCGUCAACGAAAAUUUCGACCAUCGAAUGGAGGUGUGCCACCGGGUGUCGCGGCGGUCAUUUGGCCGAUAUUCUGUUUCAUUCAUGAUUGAACCAUACCAAUAUUAUCAUAAUAAAAAGAAAUUACAAUAAUUUCCUACAUGAUUUGGGUUCUAUUCAAAAUUAACAUCGGUAUGCGCUUAUACAUAUAUAAACAUUUACAUAUGUAUGCAAACAUAUAUGUAGAUAAAGCUAAUGAAUUUUUACUUCAGUUGUGUGGAAGAUUUAGUGUUACAGUCAUUGAAUCACGAAAAACUUGGACAUGGGUACCCUUCAAGGACUAGCACAGGAACACUUUAAUGUUUGAAUUCAACGGAUCUCUUUUGUGGAUUGCUGAGCUUACCUUAUGUCGUUUUCGGCUUAUUGAGACAGGGGGGUUUGAGUUUCAUAUUAACUACACCUAUAAUGGCUUGGCCCUAUGCGAAAUGCACGGGACAACUAACACAUGCUUAGACUAAUGAACAAAUACCGCUCAGGACUCUAGAUAAUAUACAUACCGGUGAUUAUACAAAAGUUGAUUAGCGUGAUGUCAUCAAUCAAUAUAUAAAAAGUCUUAUUAUAUUUUUUGGAGAUAACAAUUUAUUUUAAAACAAUGGAAAGACCUUUAUUUAGUCACUCAA